rnacentral:rRNA from 1 species
GACAGAGGGUGCAAACGUUGUUCGGAAUUACUGGGCGUAAAGCGAGUGUAGGCGGUCUCCUAAGUCGGAUGUGAAAGCCCCGGGCUCAACCCGGGAAGUGCACUCGAAACUGGGAGGCUAGAGUAUCGGAGAGGUUGGUGGAAUUCUCGGUGUAGAGGUGAAAUUCGUAGAUAUCGAGAGGAACACCGGUGGCGAAGGCGGCCAACUGGACGAAUACUGACGCUGAGACUCGAAAGCGUGGGGAGCAAACAGG